rnacentral:rRNA from 1 species
UACGUAGGGUGCAAGCGUUGUCCGGAAUUAUUGGGCGUAAAGAGCUCGUAGGCGGUCUGUCGCGUCGGCUGUGAAAUCCCGAGGCUCAACCUCGGGUCUGCAGUCGAUACGGGCAGACUGGAGUACUGCAGGGGGAGACUGGAAUUCCUGGUGUAGCGGUGGAAUGCGCAGAUAUCAGGAGGAACACCGGUGGCGAAGGCGGGGUCUCUGGGCAGUAACUGACGCUGAGGAGCGAAAGCGUGGGGAGCGAACAGG